rnacentral:rRNA from 1 species
UGGGGAAUAUUGCACAAUGGGCGCAAGCCUGAUGCAGCCAUGCCGCGUGUAUGAAGAAGGCCUUCGGGUUGUAAAGUACUUUCAGCGGGGAGGAAGGGAGUAAAGUUAAUACCUUUGCUCAUUGACGUUACCCGCAGAAGAAGCACCGGCUAACUCCGUGCCAGCAGCCGCGGUAAUACGGAGGGUGCAAGCGUUAAUCGGAAUUACUGGGCGUAAAGCGCACGCAGGCGGUUUGUUAAGUCAGAUGUGAAAUCCCCGGGCUCAACCUGGGAACUGCAUCUGAUACUGGCAAGCUUGAGUCUCGUAGAGGGGGGUAGAAUUCCAGGUGUAGCGGUGAAAUGCGUAGAGAUCUGGUGGAAUACCGGUGGCGAAGGCGGCCCCCUGGACGAAGACUGACGCUCAGGUGCGAAAGCGUGGGGAGCAAACAGG